AGCUGGAGCCUAGAUGGCAAGCUGUGUGUGCUGCACGGGAUGGAGCUGGAGAAGUGACCCAAGCCCCUUGGAGAAGCCCAGAAGAUGGAGGCCACAGUUGAACAACUUUGAACUUUUGAAGAGAUUUUUGGAUUUUAAUAGAGACUUUUUUUUUAAAGAUUGAAUUUUAAGUAUUUGAAUUUGUAAAGAUGUUCUAAGUCCGUAAAAUGUUUAUCUUAGGAUGUUUAUAUUAAUGUGUGAUCUUUGGGAUAAACAAUAAAGGAAAGGUUGUAGCUUAAGAGUGAUAUGUUUGUGUGCCAAGUUGACAAGAAGUCAGUUGUGCUGGCUAAUUUUAUGUCAGCUUCACACAAGCUAGUGUAAGUCAAAUAAGCCCUUUCCUUCCCACAUUGCUUCUGGUCCUGGUGUUUCAUCACAGCAAAAUUAACCCUAACAAGCACGUUCUAAUUGCAUAUUUAUCCUUCUUUCAAAUAAUAAUGAAUUUCAGAGUUCACCUUUCUGGCUUAGAGUUACUAAGUUAUCAACUUAGAAAACUCCCAGAAAGUUGGACUUACCCAAUUAACAUUGAUUUUGAUCUAAUGGGGCUUUCAUGAUAUUUGAUAAAUUUGUAUGGUCCAAAGAACUAUAGGUCCCCUAAGGAAUAUCCCUAAGCUUACUGAAAAAUGUGCUAAAGUUUAGUUCCCAGAACCCCAUGGACAGGGACAAGGGCACCAGGACGCUCCAUAGUAUUGAAUUGUGCAGAGUGCAGACUUACAACAAGGACUCCCUGUGAGCUGAAAUUCAUGCCCAUGGCCUUUCCAAAAAGAAGGAACAAAAAAGAACUUGUGAACAGCUCUAGAAAAAAAAAAAAGGGUGUGUGUGUGGGCUUUUUCAGGCCCUUCCAGGACAGAGAAGUUGGGUUCCUUCCCCUGACCUCCAUGGGGAUUGGCCAAGAGUUCUGAGAAGACGGUUUUGCAACUAAGAAAUCACAAGGCUGGAGUGAAAUGAAAACAAGCAAGGUCCUUUAUCAGCUGAGGACCGUUGGCUCUACUCUGUAGGACUUCAGACAGAGGAAAAUCAAGGGCUAAAGCAGAAAAAUGUUGCAACAUAGGAAAGACUCCCUUUGCAUGAUGUGCCUGCUACCAACUAUGACAGAUGACAGUCACGGGAGCCACCACCAAAGGGUCCAUGUAUGCUGUCUCACUUUGCAUUUAAUAAUACCCACCUUUACAAAGAAAGGCAAGUAUAUCAGCCCUGUGCUGGAUGUUGAGUCCAAGUGCACAGGUCACAGACCUUGCAUCUGUUUGCAGUGUACAUGGGAUUUUUAUGAUAUCUGUUGAUAAUAAUUUUAUUCAAAUAUGCUUAUUCUCAUGGUCAUAUCAGGAGACUUCUUCAAGAAAAUCGAUCUUUAAAACAUAUAGGCUUAAAUCGUAUUUUAAAAUAUUAUAUUUCAUUUGGCUUUACUUAUUUUGAAAGCUAUUUUAAUGAUACAAAUACCAUACAGUGUAUGUUUGUCAUAUAAAUUUCAAAUAAUGUAAAACCUAAAGUCAACCUUUACUUACUCCCCAAUAUCCAGAAUAAGAAUGUGGGUACUUUUGGAAAUGAUUCUUUCAGAAUUUUACAGUGAUCUACAUCUACAAAAAGAAAGGUGUAGAAAUACUCUUGACUAUGUAUGUAACAUGUAUGUUAUAUAUGUAUGUGUAUAAAUUUACAUAUAUACUGUGCAGUUGUUUUAUUGUAACAAUAAAAUCGUAGGUUACUGUUU
rnacentral:lncRNA from 1 species